GCGACACUGCACUCCAGCCUAGGUGAUAGACGAGACUCUGUCUCAAAAUAAUAAUAAAAAGGUGUGAUGGGGGAAGAUACUACCAUUCUCAUUUCAUUGAUGAUGGAUACUAGAAUGAGAGUGGGAUUGUUGCUCAAAGUUACAAUGCCAGGAAGAGGCACAGCUGGGACUGAUGCUUAGGUUUUCUAGCCAUUUGCUCAAUAUUCCUGGAUGCCCAGUGUCUCCCCACCUUGCCGUCUAUCUCUCUCAUAUUUCCAUCUGGUACAACCCUCUACCCAGUUCUUCAACCCACUCUUUCCUUUGUUUUCAUCACUCUCAUAUCCUAUAUGGUACCGUCUUGCCCAUUCUACUUUCAAACCACAUCCCACAUAUGUUCUAUUUGCUCCCUGUCUAUCAUAUACAUCCCCAUCCAAGCUAGCAUCGCUUCUCACCUGAGCAACAGUAAUAGCUGCCUGUCUGGCCUCUGGCUCCCACUCUUACAUCCCCAUGUCUAUUCUGUACAUAGCAGCCAAGUGACUUUCUUAAAACACACAUCAAACCCUGUUCCUUCCCUGCUCAGAACCCUUGAAAUGCCCUUUGAAUGAACUCAAAACUCUUCAUCCCAGCCACCAAUACACUAAGCCACACAUGACCUGGUCUCUGCCUGUCUCUGAUCUUCUCCCCACAUCUCCCACCUCAGUGGGAUGGAUCGGGAG
rnacentral:lncRNA from 1 species